UAUUUCCUCAAGUGUUUUCUUUAUAUACCUCAUUCUAUUUCAGCAAUAUCUAUUCUACUUCUUACUGCUUCUAAUUAGUUUUAAUUCUUCCAAUUACUUUAUUAUCUUCAAGUCUCUUUUCUGCUUUUCCAGCUCAGUUUUCAUCUUUCAGUGAUUUGUUUGCUAUAAAUUUUUCAUAUUUGUUUUGAUCUAGGUUUUCAGAGAAAUUAAAGUUUUUGGAAUUGAAUUUAAAUUAAUUGACAUUGAAUACUGCAUUACCAUAUCAGCAUCAAGAUACAGAUUUCCAUCACUGUAGAAUGUCUGUUGACCAAUGCUGCUCUAGAGCACAGCUCUAUCAGAAAAAUGAGAAAAUGGAAAGAUGAAGAAGCUAAUAAUUUAUUCAAGAUCAAACUGCCAAGAAGUGACCAAACUACCUUGGAUUCAGAUCCAAAUCGGCUGGACUUCCCCACUUACGCUUAUGACCGCUGAGCCACGCCACCUUCCCAAGUUCAUCCAGUGCUCUCUCAACUCUGUCAAACUGGCUUCCCUGAAAUAAUUUGUAUUUCUUAUCCACAGUGGGAUAAAUUAGAGAAACCAUAGCCAGGUGUGUAAGUGGAAAGAUUGACUAAUAGACAUCUGAUAGAGCAAACAGCCUAAGUCUGCAAUAUCUCUCUCAGGUCUGUCUUUAUUCAAGUGUAUGAGAUGGUGGUAAUCAUCAAUGUUCCCCAGUAUCAGUACCUAAUAUUUAAAAGGGUUAUCACGUUGGGCCAUACGUUUGGGCUUGAUGAUUCACAGGAGGUGAAGAGAACUUCAACUCUCAAUUGCAAUCCCAAUGCAUUUGUCAUGAUGCUGAGUUACACAGAACUAGGGCACAUGUAAAAUAAAUACCUCUUUUUGUUCCAAGCCUUGUGAGCAUUUUUCUUGAUGCAUUUGGAUUUCUCCAGUAAGAAAAUGACAAUGUAAAGCCAUUCUUUACAUUCAAUGUUGUGAGUUUGAACAAAGGGCUGUGAG
rnacentral:lncRNA from 1 species